rnacentral:rRNA from 1 species
AUGGCGUCGCCGAAGAAAGCGAAACCGCGGGCGAGGCGGCCCCUGCUGCUCCGGCGAGCCAUGCUGCAUUCCUCCAUCUGCUUCCUCCUCGGCCUCCUCGCCGGCCUGGCCCCCGCCUUCCGCUGGACCCACGUAGCGUCCACCGCGGCCACCGCCCACGUCUUCCGCGCGCUCCACGCCGUCGACGGCGCCUUCAACCACACCGUGCUCCUGCUCCAGCAGCAGCAGCGGCAGCUGCAGCACGGGGCGCCCGUCGACGUCGCCGUCACCGCCGUCCCCUCGCCGCCCCCAGAGCCGGAGCCGCUGCGGCAGCCGCAGCUGCUGCUGCUGGUGACGGCCACGGAGCGGUCGGACCCGGAGCGGCGGGCCGCGGGGCUCACCCGCGCGGCGCACGCGCUCAGGCUCGUGCCCCCGCCGGUGCUGUGGCUGGUGGUGGAGCGGGCGACGGAGGCCCCGGCCACGGCGCGGCUGCUGCGCGGCGCCGGGGUGUCGUACCGGCACCUGGCCUACCCGGAGAACUUCACGGCCGACGGCGUCGGCGUCGAGAAGGAGCGGCACCACCAGCGGAACGUGGCGCUGGGGCACGUGGAGGAGCACCGCCUGGCCGGGGUCGUGCUCUUCGCCGGCCUCGGCGACGUCUACGACCUCCGCUUCUUCGACCAGCUCAGGCAGAUCAGGACGUUCGGUGCGUGGCCGGUCGCGACGGUGUCGGAGCGCGAGCGGAAGGCGACGGUGGAAGGCCCGGUGUGCGGCGGCUCGCCGUGGGCGGUCACCGGCUGGUUCUCCACGGCCGACGCGACGCCGACGGUGAGGGCGGCGAGGCCGCCGGCGGGCACCGUGGACGUGGCGCGCUUCGCGUUCGGCAGCGCCCUGCUCUGGGACCCGCACCGGUGGGACCGGUUCCCCGUCUCCGAGCCCGACGCCUCACAGGAUUCGGUGAAGUUUGUGCAACGAUUGGCCGCGGAGGAGUACAACGAGUCGAGAGGAAUGCCCGAUCCCGAUUGCUCGGAGAUCAUGGUGUGGCGUGGAGAUCAGCUCGUCGCUACCUAG